rnacentral:rRNA from 1 species
AGAGUUUGAUCAUGGCUCAGGAUGAACGCUAGCGGCAGGCUUAAUACAUGCAAGUCGUGGGGCAGCAUGGUGUAGCAAUACACUGAUGGCGACCGGCAAACGGGUGCGGAACACGUACGCAACCUUCCUUUAACUGGAGAAUAGCCCGGGGAAACCCGGAUUAAUACUCCGUAACAUUAUGAAGUGGCAUCACUUUAUAAUUAUAGCUCCGGCGGUUGAAGAUGGGCGUGCGUCUGAUUAGGUAGUUGGCGGGGUAACGGCCCACCAAGCCUACGAUCAGUAACUGGUGUGAGAGCACGACCAGUCACACGGGCACUGAGACACGGGCCCGACUCCUACGGGAGGCAGCAGUAAGGAAUAUUGGUCAAUGGACGCAAGUCUGAACCAGCCAUGCCGCGUGGAGGAUGAAGGUCCUCUGGAUUGUAAACUUCUUUUAUUUGGGAAGAAACCCCCGAUUUCUAUUGGGGUUGACGGUACCAGAUGAAUAAGCACCGGCUAACUCCGUGCCAGCAGCCGCGGUAAUACGGAGGGUGCAAGCGUUAUCCGGAUUCACUGUUAAAGGGUGCGUAGGCGGGUUGGUAAGUCCGUGGUGAAAUCUCCAAGCUUAACUUGGAAACUGCCGUGGAUACUAUCAAUCUUGAAUAUAGUGGAGGUGAGCGGAAUAUGUCAUGUAGCGGUGAAAUGCUUAGAUAUGACAUAGAACACCCAUUGCGAAGGCAGCUCGCUACACUAUUAUUGACGCUGAGGCACGAAAGCGUGGGGAUCAAACAGGAUUAGAUACCCUAGUAGUCC